ACCAAGGUGGCUUAGUGGCUAACGUACCUGCCUAGUAAGCAGGAGACCCAGGUUCAAAUCCCGGCCUUGGUA